GACGAACGCUGGCGGCGUGCUUAACACAUGCAAGUCGAACGGCAAGGCCCUGCUUUUGUGGGGUGCUCGAGUGGCGAACGGGUGAGUAACACGUGAGUAACCUGCCCUUGACUUUGGGAUAACUUCAGGAAACUGGGGCUAAUACCGGAUAGGAGCUCCUGCUGCAUGGUGUGGGUUGGAAAGUUUCGGCGGUUGGGGAUGGACUCGCGGCUUAUCAGCUUGUUGGUGGGGUAGUGGCUUACCAAGGCUUUGACGGGUAGCCUGCCUGCGAGGGUGACCGGCCACAUUGGUACUGAGAUACGGCCCAGACUCCUACGGGAGGCAGCAGUGGGAAAUAUUGCGCACUGGGCGGAAGCCUGAUGCAGCGGCGCCGCGUGCGGGAUGACGGCCUUCGGGUUGUAAACCGCUUUCGCCUGUGACGAAGCGUGAGUGACGGUAAUGGGUAAAGAAGCACCGGCUAACUACGUG
rnacentral:rRNA from 1 species